CGCGCCCGCUGUGGGGACCAAGGACGGGGAGAGCGGUCACCAGCGUCACGGAACACUCGCUGCACGAAGAGGCAAGAGUCGUUGGCGCCGCCGCAGCGGCCGCAGCGGUCCUCGAGGGCUCCCGAGCCCAGCACCCCGUCGCAGCCGGCGCUCUGCGGGCAGGGUGAAAUGCACUCUCCGAGCACACCCAUAAACACACAGCCCUGCCGGGCAUGGUGGCCUAUAAUCCCAGCGGCUCCGGAGGCUGAGACCAGAGGAUUCUGAGUUCAAAGCCAGCCUCAGCAACUUAGCAACGAAGCAACUCAGCUCUUCUUAUCUGUGGACCACCACCAUGAAGUCUGAAGCUGCCUGUCUCCCUUGAAUCCGGAGGCGUGCUGCCCGGGGCACACAGUUAUAUAACUCCCUAUUUUCAGCUCGAUGCAGCAACAUUUUCCUGUUACAGGGAUAAGUUUGAGUACUGCUGGCCUCUGCAUACAGCACUAAAUGUCACGGCUGUGUCCAUCACAUGCUGAAACCUUCCUGAGGACCCCUGUUUCAGGAGGGGGGCUUCCAGUGGGCAUGGCUGCCCCAGUAUGUAUCACAUGACCCUGCUCAGCCAGUCAGAGAAUGGAAAAGGAGACUGUGAUCUCUCUGGGCCAACGAGAGCCUGCUCUGGGACGUCAGCUGAACCACUUGAGGAAAAGCUGCUCCCUGUGGCUGGGGUUGCCUGGCUUGGAGGGAGAACUGGGAUUGCUGGUGACUUCUUUGUCACCCCCGUUCUGUCUGGACCCUGCUCAAGGAGGGGUCCAGGGAGGUCCAGCAGCGAGGACAGGGAGUGGAAAGGGCUGGGGUUUGAGAAGCUCAAGUUCCUGGAUUGACCCUCACCUGAAGCCAUUAACCUGUUGUGUUUUCCACUUUAGCAACUUUGAGUUUCUGCUACUUCUAAUCCAAAGGUUCCUGUCUAAUGGGAACGGCAUCGCUCACAGCUCCUCCGCUCCUGGGACAGUUCCUGCUUCUCAGGUUUUAGAUGAGCAGCCUGUCGCGAGCGGCGGAGAGGCGAGUGACUAGAAUUUGGUUCCAAACAAGUUGGCUUUAUUUGAUACACUCAGGAUAACACAAUCCGUAUCUUAACCUUAAUAUUCCUAAUAUCACGCCUCAAUCAAAUCGUAUGGCAAAUAAACACACCUCAAUUAAAUAGUCCAAAGUCCUCUCUGUCUUGUCGGUUCCGCGACCUUGAAUGCGACGUACCUUAGUUGGAGAGAAGACGACGGCUGGUCUCGGAACCCCCUCUGGCCGAUGGUCCGAGGAUCGAGGACAGGCAGGCUCCGCUGGUCGUAAAGCAGUCAGAGCAGCGGAGUCUCGGCAGUCUCCACGGGUGAUCGGUGGGGCUCGCGGACCUGGCGGACAUGGAUUCCUCAGGAGGUCUGGGCUGAGCCGAGCAGCCGUCUGAGGGAGCCUGAAGUCACACACCUCCCAGGGCAGAAGGGACUCAGGCGUGACCGGGGGAGGGCCUGAGCUGGGGUCACCCAGGGUCCUCAUGAGAGGAGGCGUGAGUGUCAGAGGCAGAGAGCCUGGAAGACACACACUGCUGGCUGUGGAGCUGGAGGAGGGGACGCGGACUGUCCCUGGGACCUUGGGAGCUGGUCCCAAGGGGGACACAGAUUCUCCCUGGGACCUCGAAGGGCGAGCCUGUCACACCUAGGUUUAGAACUUCU